GUUUUGACAUAGGGUUUCUUUGUG
rnacentral:piRNA from 1 species